CGCUAUCUACAGGCUUAACACAUGCAAGUCGAGGGGCAGCAUGGUCUUAGCUUGCUAAGGCCGAUGGCGACCGGCGCACGGGUGAGUAACACGUAUCCAACCUGCCGUCUACUCUUGGACAGCCUUCUGAAAGGAAGAUUAAUACAAGAUGGCAUCAUGAGUCCGCAUGUUCACAUGAUUAAAGGUAUUCCGGUAGACGAUGGGGAUGCGUUCCAUUAGAUAGUAGGCGGGGUAACGGCCCACCUAGUCUUCGAUGGAUAGGGGUUCUGAGAGGAAGGUCCCCCACAUUGGAACUGAGACACGGUCCAAACUCCUACGGGAGGCAGCAGUGAGGAAUAUUGGUCAAUGGGCGAGAGCCUGAACCAGCCAAGUAGCGUGAAGGAUGACUGCCCUAUGGGUUGUAAACUUCUUUUAUAAAGGAAUAAAGUCGGGUAUGGAUACCCGUUUGCAUGUACUUUAUGAAUAAGGAUCGGCUAACUCCGUGCCAGCAGCCGCGGUAAUACGGAGGAUCCGAGCGUUAUCCGGAUUUAUUGGGUUUAAAGGGAGCGUAGAUGGAUGUUUAAGUCAGUUGUGAAAGUUUGCGGCUCAACCGUAAAAUUGCAGUUGAUACUGGAUAUCUUGAGUGCAGUUGAGGCAGGCGGAAUUCGUGGUGUAGCGGUGAAAUGCUUAGAUAUCACGAAGAACUCCGAUUGCGAAGGCAGCCUGCUAAGCUGCAACUGACAUUGAGGCUCGAAAGUGUGGGUAUCAAACAGGAUUAGAUACCCUGGUAGUCCACACGGUAAACGAUGAAUACUCGCUGUUUGCGAUAUACUGCAAGCGGCCAAGCGAAAGCGUUAAGUAUUCCACCUGGGGAGUACGCCGGCAACGGUGAAACUCAAAGGAAUUGACGGGGGCCCGCACAAGCGGAGGAACAUGUGGUUUAAUUCGAUGAUACGCGAGGAACCUUACCCGGGCUUAAAUUGCAGAUGAAUUACGGUGAAAGCCGUAAGCCGCAAGGCAUCUGUGAAGGUGCUGCAUGGUUGUCGUCAGCUCGUGCCGUGAGGUGUCGGCUUAAGUGCCAUAACGAGCGCAACCCUUGUUGUCAGUUACUAACAGGUUCCGCUGAGGACUCUGACAAGACUGCCAUCGUAAGAUGUGAGGAAGGUGGGGAUGACGUCAAAUCAGCACGGCCCUUACGUCCGGGGCUACACACGUGUUACAAUGGGGGGUACAGAGGGCCGCUACCACGCGAGUGGAUGCCAAUCCCCAAAACCUCUCUCAGUUCGGACUGGAGUCUGCAACCCGACUCCACGAAGCUGGAUUCGCUAGUAAUCGCGCAUCAGCCACGGCGCGGUGAAUACGUCCCCGGGCCUUGUACACACCGCCCGUCAAGCCAUGGGAGCCGGGGGUACCUGAAGUGCGUAACCGCGAGGAGCGCCCUAGGGUAAAACUGGUGACUGGGGCU
rnacentral:rRNA from 1 species